UACGUAGGGGGCAAGCGUUGUCCGGAAUCAUUGGGCGUAAAGAGCGUGUAGGCGGUUCGGUAAGUCGGCUGUGAAAGUCCAGGGCUCAACCCUGGGAUGCCGGUCGAUACUGCCGGACUAGAGUUCGGAAGAGGCAAGUGGAAUUCCCGGUGUAGCGGUGAAAUGCGCAGAUAUCGGGAGGAACACCAAUGGCGAAGGCAGCUUGCUGGGACGGUACUGACGCUGAGACGCGAAAGCGUGGGGAGCAAACAGG
rnacentral:rRNA from 1 species